UGCGCCUUAUGCAUGCAAGUCGAGCGAAGCUUUUCAGUAGUUUACUACAGAAAAUGACUGAGCGGCGAACGGGUGAGUAACGCGUGAGCAAUCUACCUUAGUUACAGGGAUAGCCCGAGGAAACUCGGAUUAAUACCUGAUAUUCUUUAAAUUUCGCAUGAAAUUAAAAGGAAAGGUCAGCCGAACUAAGAUGAGCUCGCGUUCUAUCAGCUAGUUGGUGAGGUAAAAGCUCACCAAGGCUACGACGGAUAGCUGGUCUGAGAGGACGAUCAGCCACACUGGGACUGAGACACGGCCCAGACUCCUACGGGAGGCUGCAGCAGGGAAUAUUGCGCAAUGAGCGAAAGCUUGACGCAGCGACACCGCGUGUGGGAUGACGGAUCUAGGUUUGUAAACCACUUUCAGGAGGGAAGAAAAUGACGGUACCUCCACAAGAAGCCCCGGCCAA
rnacentral:rRNA from 1 species